rnacentral:lncRNA from 1 species
CAGUCGCCCAGUCCUCCAAACUAGACACCUGAGAGUCUUCACCAAUGCCCCAUUAUCCUUUAUUCCCUAAAUCUAUCCAUUCAUCAUUUUCAGUUAUUUCCUUGUCAUCCACCCUUUUUAGUUAUCUUUACCUUUUAAAUACCACACAUAUCAGUCACAGUUUCUUUAUCCUACUAUGGCUGCCCUAAUUUCAGUUGGCAUUUCUUCCUCAGACUAAAACAGCCCUGCUUAAAAUGCCAGCCCCACUGUUACUGCAAUGUGACUUUGUACAAGUUGUUUAACCUGCUUAACUUCAGUUUACCCAUCUGUAAAAUGGGAUAACAAUAGAUUUUUCAGAGUUGUUGUGGUCAUCCAAUGAGCAACACAGGUAAUGUUUCUGUACAGUGCUAGCACAUAGCAAUUAAUUGAUGUACCCUAUUCUUAUAUUUAGCCUUCCUAUUGCCAGACUCAUGUCUCACCUCCCACUCACUGCAGUAUCAAUCCAUUCACCAUAGAUUAUAUAAAAGUGAUUUCCCUAAAACACAAAUUUGACCAAAUUAUUCUCAUGCUUAAAACAUAGAUUUUUCCAUACCUUUUCAUCAACUACAAGACCAAUCCAGAUGUUUUGUAGGACAGAAAAUGUUUUGAAUGGAUAUCCUGUAUUUCUAUGUCCCAUCCUACUGUUGCCACUCCUUAAUGUGCCCUUUAUUCCACAGAUGUACUGAAACAUUUACACCACUCCACAUAAACCACAUUCCCUCCCUCUUCUAAGCCUUUGUAUUUGCUGUUUCCACACACAGAAUACCUUUCCCUGUCCACUGUCACCAUUCUUCCAACUCUCAUGUUGCAGCUUACCCUCCUAUGGUCAAUUCACAUGAUGAUUCUGAUAUGAAUUCUUGCCUAGUGUCCUGUAUCUAAGGAUAGAGUUCAUCAUUCUCAUCAUUUGUGCUCCCAAGGCCCUCUCCCUGUUCCUUGGUCAUAACACCCUGCAUGCUGUACUGUAAUCAUCUCCUCUACCACAGCCCACAGCACCCUGUACAGUAAUUACCUUAGAAGGUAUUUGCCUCACGAGAUUGUGUGCUCCCUGAAGGAAGAGUCUGCCUCACCCCAGCCUCAAGAUCCAGCACAGCAACAUCAUGCUUAACAAGGGCUCAAAGAAGCCUUGGAGUGUGUCCCAGGUAACUAGGUUUUCAGUGACUUGUAUGCUCAUGUGUCUAUGUGGGUUUUUUCCAGGAAACUGGCCAACAUCCUGAAGUCAAACAGCUGUGUGACCAUGGGCAUGAUACCUAACCUCUGUGAGGUACAAUGGGGACAAUUAUAUCCACCUCUUAGGGAGGUCAUGAAAAUAAAUUGAGAUCAAACAUAUGAAAGCACCCAGCACUGGCAUACUCAGUCCAUAUUAGUUUCUCAUUCUCUUCAUUAUUUUCAUUAUCAUCUUUAUCACAUCCUCACCUUUUUUCAUCAUUGUCAGUAGCUGCAGCAUCAACCCAGUGCCCUGACUUUCAAGACGACUAUGAAAACACCCCAACUGCUGCUAAAUUACCAGCAACAAGGAUCUGGUGAGUAAGUUAUUUUGGGGAAGUCAGGUCUUGUCAGCGUGCGUCGAGUUUCUUGCAGUCCUGUGUGUCAGUCUUUCUUAAACCCCUCAGAUACCCAGAACCUCUCUCUGCCUUCUGGCUGCAGGAAUCAGGCCAAGGAUUUUCACAAAAUAGCCCAGGACUCUAAUGUAUGAAGAGUCUUAUUAUGAUAAGAAUUUAACAAUAAUAAUUCCAUUUUUGUUGCAGACAUUCUUAUUCAAAAGAAAGAACACCGAAAUUGACCUUACCCUGACAAUAUGAUGGCUGAAGGAUUUAUGAUCACUUAUAACAUUUGAAAUUGAGGCGGAACCUGAAGAAUAAGACUCUGGUGAAAGGUCCUAUUUAUGCUUUUGAUGUCUUUCACUUGGACAUUUACCACAUGCCUAUUGGUAGGUUUGUUACAUAGGUCAGUUAAGGUGAUACAAGAAUAAAUAAAACACUAUCCCUAUCCUUUAAUAUCAUUUAUUUAUGGGGUCAAUCACAGAUUUUCAUUUUUCAAAAUCUUUGAUAAAUGUCAGAAUUAUGUUUUUUAAUAUUUUUACAGAAUUAUUACAAUAUAUGGUAGAGGAUGGAAGGCAAGGUAGUAUGAAACGGAAAAGAUAUUUUGAAUUAAGGUAUUUGGACCUGGAUUAAUAUUUUUGCUUUGGUCUUUAUUAGCUGAGUGACCUUGAGAAAGUUCUUCUACUAAAAAAGAACAAAGAUAAUAAUUACUUCAUGAAAUUGCUGUAAAAAACACAUAACAAGUAUAUCCAGACUCAACAGUGUAUGCUCAAAAAUGCAGAUCCUUUUUCCCUUACCUGCAAAUAAAGUCUUACAGUAAUACAGUGGGGGUAAAGGUUUAAACUGGUGGAUUCAAGAAGGGCUAUAGAAAGAGGUAGCAUCUUAAUAGGGGAAGGAGAGGAUCCAAGAAAUCAGAUCCAUUUUCUACAAAAAGAAAUGGGAAGACAGAUAAUUCAAGAAGAAAAGUUUACAUGAUUAAAGACCCGAAGUUAGAAAUAGUGAUGUGUCUCAAUAGUAAGUUAGGAAUUGGGGUGGACACAAUUGUUGGAAGAAGGAUGGUUUCAGCAAAGGCCCAAGUUAGGUGACAAUUUCAAGUGUUUGUGAAGAUAUAUGAACAAAAUUAUAAAGUAGUUAGGGUAUAAGAAAUAGGGAGGAGGGAAUGAAUUAACAUUUAUGGAGUGUCUUGCAUGUUCCAAGCACUGUACUACUUGCCUUAUAAACCUUUCUUCAAUAAACGCCUACAACAAUCCUGAGAUGUGGAAUUAUUAGUUCCUCAAUGGACCCAGAGAGUUUCAAUUAUGUGCUUAAGAACACAGAGUUAG